AGGAGGGGCCGGUUCUUCCUAGAAGGGUUAUUAGUAGGUGUCCUGCAAUUAUAUUAGCCGAUAGACGAAUACUUAAUGUACCGGGUCGGAUAAUAUUACUAAUAGAUUCAAUUAAUACUAUAAAUGGUAUAAGUAAAUUAGGUGUUCCUUGUGGUACAAGAUGUGUAAAUAUGUGUAUUGUAUUAUUAAUUCAUCCAAAGAUUAUAAAGCUUAAUCAGAGGGGUAAGGCUAGUGUAAGAGUUAGAACAAGUUGUCUUGUUCUUGUAAAAAUAUAGGGGAAUAAGCCUAAAAAAUUGUUAAAUAAAAUUAAUGAAAAUAAAGAGGUAAAUAUUAAUGUUCUUCCUUGAGAUUUAUUAUUAUUAAUUAGGACUUUAAAUUCUUUAUGAAGUAGGGUAGUAAUUUUGAUUCAUAUUAUAUUAAGUCGCGAGGGAAUAAAUCAAAAUAAU
rnacentral:misc_RNA from 1 species